GUGCUUACACAUGCAAGUCGAACGAACCUUCGGGUUAGUGGCGGACGGGUGAGUAACGCGUGAGAAUCUGCCCUCAGGAGGGGGACAACAGCUGGAAACGGCUGCUAAUACCCCAUAUGCCGCGAGGUGAAAUGAAUUUCGCCUGAGGAUGAGCUCGCGUCUGAUUAGCUAGUUGGUGUAGGUAAUGGCUCACCAAGGCAUCGAUCAGUAGCUGGUCUGAGAGGAUGAUCAGCCACACUGGGACUGAGACACGGCCCAGACUCCUACGGGAGGCAGCAGUGGGGAAUUUUCCGCAAUGGGCGAAAGCCUGACGGAGCAACGCCGCGUGAGGGAUGAAGGCCUCUGGGCUGUAAACCUCUUUUAUCAAGGAAGAAGAUCUGACGGUACUUGAUGAAUAAGCCACGGCUAAUUCCGUGCC
rnacentral:rRNA from 1 species